rnacentral:rRNA from 1 species
UACGGAGGGUGCUAGCGUUGUUCGGAAUCACUGGGCGUAAAGGGCGUGUAGGCGGUCUGUUAAGUCUGAUGUGAAAUCCCCUCGCUCAACGAGGGAACUGCGUCGGAUACUGGCAGACUUGAGUACCGGAGAGGAAGGUGGAAUUCCCGGUGUAGAGGUGAAAUUCGUAGAUAUCGGGAGGAACACCAGCGGCGAAGGCGGCGAUCUGGGGCGAUACUGACGCUGAGGUGCGAAAGCGUGGGGAGCAAACAGG